rnacentral:rRNA from 1 species
AACGAACGCUGGCGGCAGGCCUAACACAUGCAAGUCGAGCGAGGACUCCGGUCUUGCUGGCGGACGGGUGAGUAACGCGUGGGAACGUGCCUUUUUAUUCGGAAUAGUCCUGGGAAAUUGGGAGUAAUACCGGAUGAGUCCCUUGGGUGAUAGAUUUAACGGCCUAGGAUCGGCCGGCGUUGGAUUAGGCGGUUGGUGGGGUAAUGGCCUAUCAAGCCGUGGAUCCCUAGCUGGUUUGAGAGACUGCACAGCCACACUGCGGCUAAGACACAGCCCAGAAUACUAGGGAAGGGGGGAGAGGGGGAUCUAAGAAGAUCGCGGAGGCCCUGAUCGAGCCAUGGCGGGUAAGCGAUGCUGGCCUUAGAGAAGUGAAGCUCGUUCAGCUGAGGAGGUAAUGACGGUACCAACAGAAGAAGCACCGGCUAACUCCGUG